rnacentral:rRNA from 1 species
GGGGGGGGGGGGGGGGGGGGGGGGGGGGGGGGGGGCGGGGGGGGGGGGGGGGAGAGCGGGCGGGGACGGGGGGCGGGGGGCGGACGGGGGGGGGGUACGUCGGGAUCUACGUUUUCGUGGGGGAUAACGGAGGGAAACUUACGCUAAUACCGCAUACGACCUACGGGUGAAAGCAGGGGAUCUUCGGACCUUGCGCGAUCGAAUGCGCCGAUGUCGGCUUAGCUAGUUGGCGGGGUAAAGGCCCACCAGGGCGACGAUCCGUAGCUGGUCUGAGAGGAUGAUCAGCCACACUGGAACUGAGACACGGUCCAGACUCCUACGGGAGGCAGCAGUGGGGAAUAUUGGACAAUGGGCGCAAGCCUGAUCCAGCCAUACCGCGUGGGUGAAGAAGGCCUUCGGGUUGUAAAGCCCUUUUGUUGGGAAAGAAAAGCAGCAGGUUAAUACCCCGCUGUUCUGACGGUACCCAAAGAAUAAGCACCGGCUAACUUCGUG